UGGGGAAUAUUGGACAAUGGGCGAAAGCCUGAUCCAGCCAUGCCGCGUGUGUGAAGAAGGCCUUUUGGUUGUAAAGCACUUUAAGUGGGGAGGAAAAGCUUAUGGUUAAUACCCAUAAGCCCUGACGUUACCCACAGAAUAAGCACCGGCUAACUCUGUGCCAGCAGCCGCGGUAAUACAGAGGGUGCAAGCGUUAAUCGGAAUUACUGGGCGUAAAGCGCGCGUAGGUGGUUAUUUAAGUCAGAUGUGAAAGCCCCGGGCUUAACCUGGGAACUGCAUCUGAUACUGGAUAACUAGAGUAGGUGAGAGGGGAGUAGAAUUCCAGGUGUAGCGGUGAAAUGCGUAGAGAUCUGGAGGAAUACCGAUGGCGAAGGCAGCUCCCUGGCAUCAUACUGACACUGAGGUGCGAAAGCGUGGGUAGCAAACAGGAUUGGAUACCCUGGUAGUCCACGCCGUAAACGAUGUCUACCAGUCGUUGGGUCUUUUAAAGACUUAGUGACGCAGUUAACGCAAUAAGUAGACCGCCUGGGGAGUACGGCCGCAAGGUUA
rnacentral:rRNA from 1 species